rnacentral:rRNA from 1 species
UACGUAGGGGGCAAGCGUUGUCCGGAAUCAUUGGGCGUAAAGAGCGUGUAGGCGGUCCGGUCAGUCGGUUGUGAAAGUCAAGGGCUCAACCCUUGAAUGCCGGCCGAUACUGCCGGGCUAGAGUCCGGAAUAGGUGAGUGGAAUUCCUGGUGUAGCGGUGAAAUGCGCAGAUAUCAGGAGGAACACCGAUGGCGAAGGCAGCUCACUGGGACGGUACUGACGCUGAGACGCGAAAGCGUGGGGAGCAAACAGG